GAGAAUGUUGCAGGACAAUGACAGAAUCAAUGAUAUAAAAGUGAGAUGAAACAGACAACAGUAAGUCAUUUUACUAUCGAGAUUUUCAAAAUGGUCAAAAUUGUCUGCCUGAUUUAUGCAGUCCUCCUGGUUGGACUUCUGGAAAGUUGUUUUGCAAGAAGUGCAAUUUUGAAUAGAGAUGCUGAGGGUACUGUCGAUGCACCACCCGCUCUAGAAAAACGAAGUGAAAGUUUUUUUUGAAGAUAAUGCGUCUGGAGCUGGAAGUGCUGGAGGUGCUGAAGAUGCUUUAUCUCUAGAAAAACGUUUUGUACCACGAACUGUACCACAGAACCGUUGCCCUGGAGGGCCUGUUCGAGCCCCAGGCAGUUAUGGAACACAACCUGCACCACAGAACCGUUGCCCUAAAGGGCCUGUUCGAGCCCCAGGCAGUUAUGGAAAAUGAUGCAUCAGGAAAAACGAAGUCCUUAGUUUUCUGAAAUAGAAUUUAGUCUUCCGAAAAUCUUUAAAAGGUAUCGUAUAUAAUGAAGCGCAUUAUGGCUUUAUGUAUUUACAGAUUUGAUUCAAGCCUGAUAUAAAUAAGCACACAGAUUUUCGUAUUCUCUUUCUAAUUUUGUAUUCCUACUUUACAUAUUGCCAGGCCACUGUAGAGUGUAUCCUUCGAUUUCUGAUAUAAAUAUACCACGCAAAAAUUUCAAGGAAAAUAAGCCAAUGGUGUUUUGUAAUAAAGCUGCUAUGUAUUUUUAAAUUUCGUUGAUUAAUUAUAGAAAUCUCUAUCAAAAGCCUACUGGGAAUUAAUGUUACUGUGAGUAAAUAUUCUUCCCAGUGCUUCAAAUCUCUUCUUUGAAAACGUUGGCUUAAAAACAGUAAAUGAGAUGAUUUAUAUCUUUAUCAAACAUUUUAUAGCCGUAUUGUACAUCAUUGAGCAAUUUCGAGAGCAGCAUUAAGGCUAGACAAAAGAGGAGCAGUGAUAGAGAGUCACCCUGGAAAAUGCCACAUAAAAUUCUUACAUCUCCAAUAUUGAGAGAUUCAUUGUCACUGUUCAAAGUCAGUGUCGUUCUUCAUGAUCUCAUACUUACAGACAAGAAGGUUCGCAGAGUAGGUGCUAUUUUAUAAUUUACCAGACAUUUCUUAAUCCACCUAUGUGGUAGACUAUCAAAAGCGUUUUAUAGUCUAUCCAGGCUAUCGACAAGAUUUUGUGUUGUUUGUGACGAUUUUCCAAGGCCACUUAUUGAUAAGUAGCUGAACUUUACAACCAUAGGACCUACAUUUACAUCCUUUUUUCUCAUUAGAAGAUAUCCCACUUUCUAUUAAAAAGCUAUAGGUAUAUUCAGUCAAGACAGAUGUUAAGUAUUUUAUACAUUGUUGUUAAGCAGUUUAUCAGUCUAUAAUUUUUUGGUUAGUUUGUUUCUUCAUUUUUUUUUAUGUAGGAAUAUUUCACCAUUAACUAGCUAAGAGGGGAUCAUACUAGGUUAUUGCAAAACAUUGUUGUAAAAUUUUGUUACCAGUUCAUGGCUCUCUAGGAAGCCAUUCAACCAGAAGUUAAGAAUGUUAUCUUUUCAUGGAGAUUUCCAUUUGCUUGACUUCUUGAGAGCAGAUCUUACGUCCUCUACCUUGAAACCCUCCCACAUUUGCUCUUCUAAGGAAUCAAAGUCUGUAGAUAUUCUAUCAAUACAAGGGGCCUUUUCAUUCUGUGUUUUUUCUUCUGCCCAAAUUUUAUUCCAAAAUUCCUGCAUUUCUUAUUUUGAUGGGACAGACUUAACUGUAACACGUAUUUUCCCUGUCAUCCUGUAUAAAUAUUUUGGAUUAUUUUUUAACAUGUUGUUGUCCUCGUAGAAUCUAAGGCGCUUUUCAUACCUUGCUAUGCGGCUAACUUUAGCAUAUACCUUUUGCUUGAUAGUUUCUAUGGUAUUGAUGUCAAGUAUGGUUUUCAUAUAUUUUUUCUUUAAUUUUCGGACUUUUGUUGAUUUGAUAGUCUGGUCAAACUUAAUGUUUUUUUAAACAUUCUAUGUCAAACCUAAGUAACUAAAUUUGGUUUUGAAUGCGCUCUUGUUAAGUAGGCUUUUUGUGGGAAUGUUAUCGUUUUUUAAUCUUUUCCCCACAUAGAAUCGUUGAGAUUUUCGCGGAUGUAUAGUACAGGUGAUUGAGAUCUGUAAUAUCAACAUCAUUAUUUGAAAUUAUAAUCUUAAGUGCAAGGCGGAUUUUGCCAAUUACUUUCAGGUUUUGGUUAGAAUUACGAAUUUUUGGGAGAGUGGUGCUUUCAUUCAUACUGGUUUCUUUAAUUUUCCUCCAUUCAAUCAUGAUUUCAUAUUUUAGAUUAUGUAGUUCUGUUGCGUCAAUUUCUGUGUGACUUUCUUCAUCUAUUUGAUUUUCAUCUUCCUUAGUGUUUAUGGUUGGUUCAGAGAGUAUUUCACUUUGCUUAUCAGUUACAUUAACUUUUUCAAUCAUUAUUGCUUUUUCAUCAGGUCUGGGUUAGUCUAUGAUUAUUUCCUCCGUAGUAACUUUUCUUUAGCUAUAACUUCGUUCCUUUUAUCCCUUACUGAUUGUUUAAUUUGCUCAAUCUCUAAUUCACUUAGCAAUUUCUUUUUCAUAACGUUGGCAGGUUUGUUACUGUCUAUGUAGAGUCUUACUUCAAUGUGUUUCUGUCUCCAGUUUAAGUAGGUUUGUACAGUAUAAGAUUUAUUUGUGUGGAAAUAUAUGGCGUGAUAGAAGGCCUUAAGAACUUCUUUAUUAUCUCCCCUAGACCAUUAUUCAUUCUUUUUCUUUUGGUUAUUUGAUGACGAACAUGAAUGGCUAUCUGUUGGAAUAUUCUAGUUGUGGGGUAUUUCCAGCUCCUGAGUUUCAGGAAGAUUUGAACCAGUAGCUGACUUUUCCUAUCAAAUCUAGUUCAUUGUUCGAGUGCGCUGUCCUUGGUGAUCCGGGUGAGGGCCGAUCCGAUUUUUAUUUUGCUUUGUUAUCAUUGAGGCAUGACAAGUUUGGACGUUGACAUUAGGGGACGGAUCUGUCUGUUUAGGGUUAAUUUUUGAGACAUCACUGCCUCCGAGUUCUCUGAAUGAAAACAUUAUACCGGCACAGCACGGUACAACCCCAUAAAACUACAAUUCUUAGUAGGUAUCAUUAGGCCGUAGUCGGCAUAAUAAAGUAGGAGCUUUUAAAUGCAUACUCAAACACAUAAAAGAUAUAAAGAUGAACGUGUGUGUAUGUAUGUGUGAAGAUAUGUGUGCAUGUGUGUGCAUAUAUGUAUAUGUAUGUAUGUUUGUUUAAUUUUAUUUGAUUUUGUGAGGUUAUUUAUGAUUUUAUGUUUCCAUAGGUGUAUUUACACAGAGAUAUUGUUAUUUUAUGGGUUUAGUUUCACGUUUAAUACUUAUUGAGAUUAAAUUAGAUGUUUUAAUUUUUGAUUAAAUUUAACAUUUUAAUUUUUGUUUUUAGUUUAUGUUUUCUGAUAAUUUGUUUUAUCAACUAAUGUUUAUUUAUUUAUGUUUUUCUAUAUUCACAUUAAUAUUAAUAUGUCUUUGGGUUUAUAUGUUAAUAAUUACAGGUUUUUAUGAGCCGAUAAAUAGUCUAUGCUCCCGUUUCUGAAUGUGAUUAUUCCAAUUAGCAUUCUUGCAUAUGUGUAUAUGUGUAUAUCAAACGACGACUUUUUGUCUGUUAAAUCUCAAUUGAUGACCUUAUUACAUUGCAGGAUAUUCUUAUAACCAUGAACUGAUAGUUAUACAGCCAUGCAACAUGAUACAAGACAGACAAUACGCCUUCUUGUCAAUUAUCCUACAUUUUCUCCUUAACUUUUAGCACACCGCGUUUUUCUCUAGAAUUGUUUCCCUUGACACUGCCUUGAUACUACAGCAGAAAAAACUUAUAUGGUGAUAUGAUAAAUCUACAGUUUGUUAAAGGUCAAUUUAGUAUUUUACAUUCUGUAUAAGAGAGGGUCUAUAAUGCAUUCUGAAUAUUUCUCUAUGGAUAAUAUUCCCUGAAAAUGUGAUUCAUGCAUAUUGUAUAAAACAUGAGAUGUAAGAAUUAUUGGAACAGUCGUAGGAAUGAACAUAUUGCGAUAUCACAGAUCUUGAUCUCUUAUUCCUUUAAACAUAUUUUGCUCUGUUCAUGUGUUAUAACCUAUAUUCACAAAGUAUUUAUAUAUGUGAUUUCAAGAGGUUGUUGGUUAUUUAACGUGUACAAACUUUCAAGUGGUUGUUGGUUAUUUAACGUGUACAAACUUUUAUGGAAAUAUAAAUGUGUGUGUGAGAGAGAGAGUGUGUGUGUGUAAGAGAAAGAGUAUGUGUGUGAGUGAGUGAGAGAAAGAGAGCAUGUGCGCGUGUGCGUGUAUGCGCGCGUGCGUGUCUGUGCGUGUGUGUGUGUGUGUGUGUGUGUGUGUGUGUGUGUGUCUGUGUGUGUGUGUGUGUGUGUGUGUGUGUGUGUGUGUGUGCAUGUAUGUAUGCGUGUAUCUCUGCGUUGAUGGGGGGGAAAAAGAAACUAUGAAUUCUGAUCAGAUUGUUUUUGUUCUUCUUCAGGGCAUUACAAAGACCAACAGAUUUAAACAUGUAUCCAUCAUCUGUUGAAAUAAACAAUGAAACU
rnacentral:lncRNA from 1 species